AAAUGAAUAGACGGGGACCCGCACAAGCGGUGGAUCGUGUUCUUUAAUUCGAUGAUAAACGGAGAACCUUACCAGGGCUUGACAUCCUUGGGAUUUCUGCGAAAGCAGUUAGUGCCUUUUGGAACCAAGUGACAGGUGAUGCAUGGCCGUCGUCAGCUCGUGUCGUGAGAUGUUUGGUUAAGUCCAUCAACGAGCGCAACCCUUAUGAUUAGUUGGAUUUUUCUAAUCAGACUGCCCCGGUAACGGGGAGGAAGGAGGGGAUGAUGUCAGGUCAGUAUUUCCCUUACGUCCUGGGCUAGAAACACGAUACAAUGGCUAGUACAAUGCGCAGCGAAGCCGCGAGGUGGAGCAAAUCGCAUCAAAGCUAGUCCCAGUUCGGAUUGGAGGCUGAAACUCGCCUCCAUGAAGUCGGAAUCGCUAGUAAUCGCAGAUCAGCAAGCUGCGGUGAAUACGUUCCCGGGUCUUGUACACACCGCCCGU
rnacentral:rRNA from 1 species